AUGGGAACGCGAAGAACCUUACCUACUCUUGACAUCCAGAGAACUUUCCAGAGAUGGAUUGGUGCCUUCGGGAACUCUGAGACAGGUGCUGCAUGGCUGUCGUCAGCUCGUGUUGUGAAAUGUUGGGUUAAGUCCCGCAACGAGCGCAACCCGUUAUCCUUUGUUGCCAGCGGUUCGGCCGGGAACUCAAAGGAGACUGCCAGUGAUAAACUGGAGGAAGGUGGGGAUGACGUCAAGUCAUCAUGGCCCUUACGAGUAGGGCUACACACGUGCUACAAUGGCGCAUACAAAGAGAAGCGACCUCGCGAGAGCAAGCGGACCUCAUAAAGUGCGUCGUAGUCCGGAUUAGAGUCUGCAACUCGACUCCAUGAAGUCGGAAUCGCUAGUAAUCGUAGAUCAGAAUGCUACGGUGAAUACGUUCCCGGGUCUUGUACACACCG
rnacentral:rRNA from 1 species